GGCUGGGCCGAUGGUGGUGGGGUAUCAGAACUUAUUAACAUUAGUGUCACUAAAGUUGGUAUACUACCCCCCACUGCUAAAUUUGACUAACUUAGA
ensembl:misc_RNA Y_RNA Y RNA